UACCAAGAGUGCUAAUAUUAGUGAAGUACACUAUGUGAAGGGAACAGUAUUCAUUGAUUUCAGCCCUCUAGCAACAAGAGACAGAACUUUUUACAAUUAAAACAAUUACAUAUUAUAAACUACUGAAACUUAAUCCUAUGUUCCAUACAAAACAUACAAUUAAUGGAUAGGUGAUUCAGAGGGUUGCCACAGAGAUCACAGAUCUUACAAUCCUCCUUACAGCUUAAAAAGCCUGGGAUCUGCAGCAACUAUCAUUGUGUGAGUUACCAAAAAGACGUAAGGACUGGACAUGUAAGAUCUGUAGUAAAAUUUUAUACUAUUUAAUUCAACUGGACUACAACCUAGAAACACUGCACUUAAGGUAACUUAUUUACAUUUAAUUGAAUAUUGUUUUUUAAUAACAACUCUUACCAAAUAGUUUGAUUGGAAUGGAUUCAUUUAUCGAUUAUUAAUUGAUUGAUAUCUUUUUUAUAAUAAAACAUACAUGUUUUGACUGAAAUAUUUGGCUUGGUUAGUCUGGUGAUAGACUGGAACAUAAAACUUAUUUGGAAUGUUUAUACUUUGUAUACUGGACAUUGUAUACUGUAGUUAGUAUAGUUGUCUGUUAGUUCAACCAACAUAGUAAAAUGAAGUGACAAUGCUAGAACAGCUAGUAGUUAUGUCUGGGAAGAGACAGGAUAAAGUUUCUGAAUUAUAUUCCUACUAAACAAAACAUUUGAGUGGUGCUUUCAUGUCAAGAAAACCAAUGCAAUUAAAAUACAUAAUUCUGACAGGACUUUAAGUGAAACUUUUACCCAUUCAUCUAUUUUCUGAGAACAGAUGGAAUAUUUGAGACCUUUCUUAACCCUUCUUCUGGUCUUCAAUGGAAUUUACACCUCAACUUCUCAAAGCUCCUCAACUACUCAAAGCUCCUCAACUGCCCAAAGCACCACAACUGCUCUAAGCACCACAACUGCUAUAAGCACCACAACUGCUCCAAGGACAAUUUUAACAUCACUAGGAAGAUCCACGCUCUCAGUUACAACCACUACAACCACCACAACAGCAUCUGCACCAAAAGCACCUACUGGUUCAACCAUACAGGCAACACAGGGAGGAACCACACUGAUGGCUACAGGGUCAACAAUGGCUACAACGUCAUCAACCUCCAUCAUCACCGGGUCAACCAUACAGUCAAUACUCGGUGUUUUUAUCUGGAUGAUGUGGCUCCUUCAGUAAAGCACUUAGGAGAAAGUGGAGGAAAAGCAGCACACAGCAAUCAAUUUAAGAGUAAUUUUGCUGCCUUAAAUAUUAAGUUUAGAGUUAUUAUCGUUGAUCUUUAAUGUUCGGCUAUGUUAUCUAUUUAUGCUUGAUAUUUCUCAAUAUUUGUUCUUGUCACAUUUGUGAAGUAUUAGGAAUAUAUUAGCAAAUACAAUAAUUUUCUCCAAAUAUGUUUUGACACAGAUUCAUUACAUAUAAAACAUUCCGAAAGUAAUAUAUUCAAAUAAAAUCUAUAAAAAAUUUCAGAACUAUUAAAAGAAAUUGAUAGAAUGUUUCAGUGUUCAUCCAAACACCAUAAGAAAUGUAUCACCACGAUAAUUGUAUAUCCGUAAAUGAGAAACUUAGAGCAAGCAUUAUACAACAUCUUUGCUUAAAUGACACCAUAAGUUCUACAUUUCUUUCAAAUAUGUCAACUAUUUUAAAUCUGUGGUUUCAAUAAACCAUAAAUGUCACAUUUUUUCUUAGCUUUAUUGAGAAUUAUAAAGAAUAUUUUAAUUAAUCAAGUUUCAAACACAUAAAGACUAAUCUCUUAAGAUGCCUUUUUUGUGUAUGUUGUACUAUUUGUACUUUUACUGAUUGGUAUUAACCACAUUCAUGUAUAUGUUUGUAUAAACCUAUUUUUCCUACC